AGAUUUUUCAAUCCACUACGGAAGGAAAUCAGCUAAAAGCCAAACAAUCUGAUGUGUUUGUGGAGCAAUCCCAGCACAUUGGAACCAUCCACUUGUGCACAAACAUAAGCCCCUAUUUUCCUGGACAAAGGCAGAAGAUAAGAACAUUGGCAUUGCUGGAGUUUUUGUAUGCCUUGGGUCAUUUGACAGACUGGAAACAUGAGGAACAUUAGAAAAUAAGAAAAUAAUAUAAAAUUAGAAAAUAACAGCAGUUUUCCUUCUACCAUGCC
rnacentral:lncRNA from 1 species